rnacentral:tRNA from 1 species
GCCCCCAUAGCUUAAAUCCCAAAGCAUGGCACUGAAGAUGCCAAGAUGGUAUACGCUCACCUACCUGGGGAC